rnacentral:rRNA from 1 species
UACGUAGGGGGCGAGCGUUGUCCGGAAUCAUUGGGCGUAAAGAGCGUGUAGGCGGCUUGGCAAGUCUGACGUGAAAUCCCGCGGCUCAACCGCGGUAGGUCGUUGGAAACUGCCUCGCUAGAGUCCGGAAGAGGAGAGCGGAAUUCCUGGUGUAGCGGUGGAAUGCGCAGAUAUCAGGAGGAACACCAAUGGCGAAGGCAGCUCGCUGGGACGGUACUGACGCUGAGACGCGAAAGCGUGGGGAGCAAACAGG